rnacentral:rRNA from 1 species
GAUGAACGCUGGCGGCGUGCCUAAUACAUGCAAGUAGAACGCUGAAGCUUGGUGCUUGCACCGAGCGGAGGAGUUGCGAACGGGUGAGUAACGCGUAGGUAACCUGCCUCUUAGCGGGGGAUAACUAUUGGAAACGAUAGCUAAUACCGUAUAAAAGUCGACAUUGCAUGAUGUUGACUUGAAAGGUGCAACUGCAUCACUAAGAGAUGGACCUGCGUUGUAUUAGCUAGUUGGUGAGGUAACGGCUCACCAAGGCGACGAUACAUAGCCGACCUGAGAGGGUGAUCGGCCACACUGGGACUGAGACACGGCCCAGACUCCUACGGGAGGCAGCAGUAGGGAAUCUUCGGCAAUGGACGGAAGUCUGACCGAGCAACGCCGCGUGAGUGAAGAAGGUUUUCGGAUCGUAAAGCUCUGUUGUAAGAGAAGAACGAGUGUGAGAG